rnacentral:lncRNA from 1 species
GGGAAGGGGGAGGGGCGGGCUCUGCUUCCUCGCCCCGCCCCCGGGAUGCUACAUUUUCAGGCUCUAACCGGUCUGGCCGUUCGGAGUCUGUGCUCCGGGUGUUGGCGCUGUCACCCUUGGGGAGAAGUUGCAGAGAGGAAAAUGUAGGCCCAAGAGACGCGUGAGCCUUUCGAAGGAAACGCGGAUCAAUUAUCAGAAGAAAGACCAACCAACCGAGAGCCCCCGCAAGCGACGCCCGCAGAUCUGGCGGAGGACCUCCCCCUUCCCCGCUCUUGCUGAAUUCUGGAGAAAGUCAAGCCCACGGGACCCUUCCGGCCGCACUAGGCGCCGGGUUCAGCACAACGUCACGACAAGCGAAGACUCACAACAGCGACAGACGGAGCGGCGACAAGAUGUCCAAAUGGCCGCUGACACAAGGCAGACCCAUCAGCCCCGACCCGGAACUCUCCCCUGCGUCAGGCGGGCAACGAACGGCCAGAGAAAAGCGGCAGUCAUUUUGGCGGGGCUGUCUCAGAUGAAAACGGAACAAAACGGGCCCGUUUGUUACUACACGAGAGGACUGCGAAUGGAAUGGCAGGCUUGUGUAUUGUCUGGGGGGGGGUGUUAUUGUUAUUAAAUUGUUAUUAAAAUUAAAUUAAUAAAUAUUAAAUUUUAAAAAUUAAAUUGUAUGUUUAACCAGGGGCAGCUAAGUAAGGAAGCGUGCGGAGCACUGGAUCUGGAGUCAGGAAGGCUCAUUUUCCCGAGUUCAGAUCUGGCCUCUGACACUCACUAGCUCAGCGACCCUGGGCAAGUCACUUCACCCUGUUUGCCUCAGUUUCCUCAUCUGCAAAUUGAACCGGAGAAGGAAAUGGCCAACCACUCCGGUAUAUCUGCUAAGAAAACCCCGAAUGGUUUCAUGAAGAGUUGGACACGAUUGAAAUGACCUAUCCUUUUCUGCCUUUGUGGGGAAGUUGAUAUUUAGAACAUUUUUAUUUUCUAAUAUUUAAUCUAUUCACUAUAUGAUGACUAUC